rnacentral:rRNA from 1 species
CGGAACGGGUGAGUAACGCGUGAGGAACCUGCCUCAAAGAGGGGGACAACAGUUGGAAACGACUGCUAAUACCGCAUAAGCCCACGGCUCGGCAUCGAGCAGAGGGAAAAGGAGCAAUCCGCUUUGAGAUGGCCUCGCGUCCGAUUAGCUAGUUGGUGAGGUAACGGCCCACCAAGGCGACGAUCGGUAGCCGGACUGGGAGGUUGAACGGCCACAUUGGGACUGAGAUACGGCCCAG